rnacentral:rRNA from 1 species
GCGGCAGGCCUAACACAUGCAAGUCGAACGGUAACAGGAAGAAGCUUGCUUCUUUGCUGACGAGUGGCGGACGGGUGAGUAAUGUCUGGGAAACUGCCUGAUGGAGGGGGAUAACUACUGGAAACGGUAGCUAAUACCGCAUAACGUCGCAAGACCAAAGAGGGGGACCUUCGGGCCUCUUGCCAUCGGAUGUGCCCAGAUGGGAUUAGCUUGUUGGUGGGGUAACGGCUCACCAAGGCGACGAUCCCUAGCUGGUCUGAGAGGAUGACCAGCCACACUGGAACUGAGACACGGUCCAGACUCCUACGGGAGGCAGCAGUGGGGAAUAUUGCACAAUGGGCGCAAGCCUGAUGCAGCCAUGCCGCGUGUAUGAAGAAGGCCUUCGGGUUGUAAAGUACUUUCAGCGGGGAGGAAGGGAGUAAAGUUAAUACCUUUGCUCAUUGACGUUACCCGCAGAAGAAGCACCGGCUAACUCCGUGCCAGCAGCCGCGGUAAUACGGAGGGUGCAAGCGUUAAUCGGAAUUACUGGGCGUAAAGCGCACGCAGGCGGUUUGUUAAGUCAGAUGAGAAAUCCCCGGGCUCAACCUGGGAACUGCAUCUGAUACUGGCAAGCUUGAGUCUCGUAGAGGGGGGUAGAAUUCCAGGUGUAGCGGUGAAAUGCGUAGAGAUCUGGAGGAAUACCGGUGGCGAAGGCGGCCCCCUGGACGAAGACUGACGCUCAGGUGCGAGAGCGUGGGGAGCAAACAGGAUUAGAUACCCUGGUAGUCCACGCCGUAAACGAUGUCGACUUGGAGGUUGUGCCCUUGAGGCGUGGCUUCCGGAGCUAACGCGUUAAGUCGACCGCCUGGGGAGUACGGCCGCAAGGUUAAAACUCAAAUGAAUUGACGGGGGCCCGCACAAGCGGUGGAGCAUGUGGUUUAAUUCGAUGCAACGCGAAGAACCUUACCUGGUCUUGACAUCCACGGAGGUUUUCAGAGAUGAGAAUGUGCCUUCGGGAACCGUGAGACAGGUGCUGCAUGGCUGUCGUCAGCUCGUGUUGUGAAAUGUUGGGUUAAGUCCCGCAACGAGCGCAACCCUUAUCCUUUGUUGCCAGCGGUCCGGCCGGGAACUCAAAGGAGACUGCCAGUGAUAAACUGGAGGAAGGUGGGGAUGACGUCAAGUCAUCAUGGCCCUUACGACCAGGGCUACACACGUGCUACAAUGGCGCAUACAAAGAGAAGCGACCUCGCGAGAGCAAGCGGACCUCAUAAAGUGCGUCGUAGUCCGGAUUGGAGUCUGCAACUCGACUCCAUGAAGUCGGAAUCGCUAGUAAUCGUGGAUCAGAAUGCCACGGUGAAUACGUUCCCGGGCCUUGUACACACCGCCCGUCACACCAUGGGAGUGGGUUGCAAAAGAAGUAGGUAGCUUAACCUUCGGGAGGGCGCUUACCACUUUGUGAUUCAUGACUGGGGUGAAGUC